rnacentral:rRNA from 1 species
AUUGAACGCUGGCGGCAUGCCUUACACAUGCAAGUCGAACGGUAACAGGUCUUCGGAUGCUGACGAGUGGCGAACGGGUGAGUAAUACAUCGGAACGUGCCUAGUAGUGGGGGAUAACUACUCGAAAGAGUGGCUAAUACCGCAUGAGAUCUACGGAUGAAAGCAGGGGAUCGCAAGACCUUGUGCUACUAGAGCGGCCGAUGGCAGAUUAGGUAGUUGGUGGGAUAAAAGCUUACCAAGCCGACGAUCUGUAGCUGGUCUGAGAGGACGAUCAGCCACACUGGGACUGAGACACGGCCCAGACUCCUACGGGAGGCAGCAGUGGGGAAUUUUGGACAAUGGGCGAAAGCCUGAUCCAGCAAUGCCGCGUGCAGGAUGAAGGCCUUCGGGUUGUAAACCGCUUUUGUACGGAACGAAAAGGUUUGGCCUAAUAAGCUGAGCUCAUGACGGUACCGUAAGAAUAAGCACCGGCUAACUACGUGCCAGCCGCCGCCGUAA